AUACGGAGGGUCCAAGCGUUAUCCGGAAUCAUUGGGUUUAAAGGGUCCGCAGGCGGUCAAUUAAGUCAGAGGUGAAAGCCCAUCGCUCAACGAUGGAACUGCCUUUGAUACUGGUUGACUUGAGUUAUACGGAAGUAGAUAGAAUAAGUAGUGUAGCGGUGAAAUGCAUAGAUAUUACUUAGAAUACCGAUUGCGAAGGCAGUCUACUACGUAUAUACUGACGCUGAGGGACGAAAGCGUGGGGAGCGAACAGAAUUAGAAACCCGAGUAGUCC
rnacentral:rRNA from 1 species